rnacentral:rRNA from 1 species
GACGAACGCUGGCGGCGUGCUUAACACAUGCAAGUCGAACGGAAAGGCCCUGCUUUUGUGGGGUGCUCGAGUGGCGAACGGGUGAGUAACACGUGAGUAACCUGCCCUUGACUUUGGGAUAACUUCAGGAAACUGGGGCUAAUACCGGAUAGGAGCUCCUGCUGCAUGGUGGGGGUUGGAAAGUUUCGGCGGUUGGGGAUGGACUCGCGGCUUAUCAGCUUGUUGGUGGGGUAGUGGCUUACCAAGGCUUUGACGGGUAGCCGGCCUGAGAGGGUGACCGGCCACAUUGGGACUGAGAUAAGGCCCAGACUCAUACGGGAGGCAGCAGUGGGGAAUAUUGAAAAAUGGGCGGAAGCCUGAUGCAGCAACGCCGCGUGCGGGAUGACGGCCUUCGGGUUGUAAACCGCUUUCGCCUGUGACGAAGCGUGAGUGACGGUAAUGGGUAAAGAAGCACCGGCUAACUACGUG